rnacentral:rRNA from 1 species
CUACGGGAGGCUGCAGUGGGGAAUAUUGCACAAUGGACGAAAGUCUGAUGCAGCAACGCCGCGUGGAGGAUGACACAUUUCGGUGCGUAAACUCCUUUUAUAUAGGAAGAUAAUGACGGUACUAUAUGAAUAAGCACCGGCUAACUCCGUGCCAGCAGCCGCGGUAAUACGGAGGGUGCAAGCGUUACUCGGAAUCACUGGGCGUAAAGAGCGUGUAGGCGGGUAGUUAAGUCAGAAGUGAAAUCCAAUAGCUCAACUAUUGAACUGCUUUCGAAACUGAUUACCUAGAAUAUGGGAGAGGUAGAUGGAAUUUCUGGUGUAGGGGUAAAAUCCGUAGAGAUCAGAAGGAAUACCGAUUGCGAAGGCGAUCUACUGGAACAUUAUUGACGCUGAGACGCGAAAGCGUGGGGAGCAAACAGGAUUAGAUACCCCGGUAGUC